AUCUUACCAUCCUGAAAGUGUACCACAAAAUAAGUUACUGUUGCCAGAUCCAAAUUAAAUUAUGUCGAAACUAUCUGGACUUGUUAUUUUUGGAGUCUUCUCUUAAAAUGAAUAGCAAGAGGAAUCAUUUGUACCACCGGAACACCAGGAUACAGCCGGAGAGUCUCGGUAAUCGCAGCAUGGAGGUAGUGCAUUUUGUCAAUAGCACCUUGUUUCAAUCUUGCGGUGAACAUUUCCAUGCUGGUAUCUUCUUGCGCCCACUCGACAUAUUCUCUGAUUUCAAAGGCAACCUUAUCCUGCACUACUGGGUUCUUGCAGAGCAUGUAGAAGAACCAUGUAAGGGUAUUCCCUGUAGUGUCUUUACCAGCAAUCAGGAAACUGAGGACUAUAUCACGAAGGAUCCAGUUUAACAUCUGACAUGCAGACUGAGCCAUCUACCACCAUAUUACUGGUUAGGAGGAACAAAAAUGAUGAGCAAAGGAGAACUACCCUGCUGUAUUUAUUGAAGUUUGUCUUGAGGACAUGCUCGAUGACGGCAGGGUCGGCGGUUAAGAUCUCACUGUGCCCUGGAUAGACGAGCCUGAUGGUGGGGUGCAGGAGCGCAUACUUCACAUGCUCAUCGAAGAUCUUGUCAAAGUUGUUGAGCUGCCGGAACACGGUACCGAUGAGCGGCGGCCGGUCAUGGGCUCUCUGGGUGAACUCUCUGAUGCAGUAAACGGCAAAGGAUCCGGCGGUGCCUAGGAUGUAGAGGGUGAUCACCAGCAGGGCUAUGGCAAGAGCUGAGACUACACAUAUGCCCGUGGAUGCAGUGAGGGAGGAGAGCAGGGGAGCCAUGAUCAGAGCUAGCUGCUGCUUGCUGAGAGUUUUGGACAGUGUCGCAGAAAAUGAACAAUCUGUGUUCAAACUAUCUCCAUGAUCAUUUUGACUUCAAGGCUUUCCUAGCAACCAAGAUCUCCAUAUGCAUAUACCAUGUCACACUGCUGUUUCAGGACAACCGAGAUUCAACUUCUGAUUCACCAAAAUUUUGGUACCCGGGUAUAUGUCGCCGACAUGUGGGCGCAGACCCGCAGCUGUGCUGGCCAGUACAGUGCAAUCUAAUGUGCAUUGUAUUUGUGGAGUUUCCGGCUAAUUCUCUGAUUCUAAUGCAGGGCAUUAUUGUAACUUAUGAACCAAUUUGCAUUGUUGUAUCAGCAAACAGAGGAGAGGACGUCAGGGGAGGCAGUGACAUAGCUGAUUCCGUGGGCAUGAGUUCAGCAAAACUGGAUAUUAGUUUCGCUCUCAUUAACUGGAACGGCAACUUGCAUUGAUAGCAACACCUACACGGCAUACAUAGCAGCUGGAUUUAUCUGCUUGUAUUCAUGUGCUAGGCCAGCCUUUUAUGUGAGAGGAAGAGCUCACGUCAUUGGAGGAUGGGAGUUGACAGGGCUGCAUAAGAAUAUUGUGUGGUGCACCAGAUUACGAUGCUAGAAGAUGCGCUGGGCCAGGUGAAAAUAACAUUCUCUCUCCGUUUUCCGCCGUUUGAACCCUAUUUCGUUUCCCCGCCUCCACCUUUCAGUGGAAUUAAACGUGCUUGCUGAUGUCCUGAUGUCUCCAAUUCCCGUAUUAUGUCCAUACAUAUCUCUCCGGUUCUUAGAGAGACUUUUUUUGUGGUUGACACCAAUCUUAUGGACUUACAUAUAUGCCCAGUAAGAGAGUCACUAGUUAGAACUGUGGGUAUAGGAUUUUGUGAAGAUGGAGUGGUAUAUAUAAAGGGCGAGAUACAUGGAGAACAUUACUCACGCAAGUGUGAGAGUUUGGUGGAGUCUUCGUUCCUUCUCCACGAGAUGAAUGCUCAUGGCCUGCUCUAGCCUACACGUGUGGUCCUUUAUAUGGCGGUAACUUGGUAGGCACCCUAUCUUCGGAGGGAUAUUUCAAAUUAACCUAAUUAUUAGUACAGAAAAUGGUUUCACUAUUGUGUUGACUCUCUUGACCUUGUUUACCUCCAAAUAUGGUCACCUUAGUACAUCGGCUUCAACCUUCUAUGUCUUCGACGUGCUUUGUCUACAAUGUUUUAUUGGGGUUCAUAAAGGAAGAUGUGCUCCAACAAUAAGACAUUUAGCUUGUUUGCCACACUGUUAUUUAUAGGUUGGCAUGGAGUUAUCCUCAAAAUGAUUUAUAUGCUACAUGUUUUUUACUUUGGGGAUGGUGACAGCCAGUUGUUAUUGCUUUUAUUGUAAGAUGUUGAUGUGUCCCAAAUCAACUAGGCAGCCUAACAGUCCUACUUUUAUUAUUCCUCCUUGUGACUAAGCAUCAUAAUAAUGCUAAAGUUUACUUUGUUCAAAUUGGUCAGAAUGAGUCGACCAUAUUUUUUCCCAAUCCCACAACACAUAAGAAAGUAAUUUGUGGGCAUCACACCGGAUAAUUUCCAUAACUAUGUGGUAUUAAAAGUUUUAUUACAGAUCUUAGAGAAACUCUAUAUUAGGAUUAUUGAUUGAUAGCCUUUCCCUUUGCUUCUUGUUUUAUAAAAGCUUUCAUAAAGAUAUCCUCGAAAGCAAGUUGAAGAGAGAGAACGGGGAAGGCAAUGUACAAAAGUUCCCAUACAUGGAGGUAAAAAAAGGCAAGUGAGUCAACACAACAUACGGGCCCAAGCCACUUCGGCCAAUAAUAUAUGGGCCCCUCGUCGAACACUCCCCUUAAGAGGGGUGAUAGAUAUCUAUCAUUCCCAUCUUGUCACGUGCUCAAUUUUGACGAUCCCAGCGUCAUGUUUGAUUCUAUCAUGUUGCAUUGGAGUGUGUGCUAUGUUGAUUGGUGAUUGGUUAUCACACCACACAUUCAUACAACUAGUGGUUGGGGCGCCACCUGGUGGCGCCGCUUGAGGCGUGAUGCUGCGGUACCUGAUUUGCUGCUGCCCAUUCAGAUGGAUUGUUUGGUCCAUGUUUUCGAUGGUCACAUCCCUCUUGCGAUGGUCACAGAAGACUGUUCUUCUAACGCCAUAAUAUGUUAUGCAGCAUCAAAUAGAAAGAUCAAGUGUGGAAAUAGUCACCAUCCAUUGGCCUGGUCUUGUAAAU